AAACAUGGCGGUUUGAUUAUUAAUUUAACGUCUGACCUGCCCACUGAUAUUGAAGGGCCGCAGUAUUUUGACUGUGCAAAGGUAGCAUAAUCAUUAGGUUCUUGAUUAGAAUCUGGUAUGAAAGGUUUAACGAAAUAUUAACUGUCUCUGUUUGAUGUAUUUAAUUUAACUUUUUAGUAAAAAGGCUAAUAUUUAAAUGAGGGACGAGAAGACCCUAUAGAGCUUGAUAGUUGUUUUAUGACAUUUAGAUAGUUUUUGAAUAAUUGUUGUUAUGAUAACUGUUUUACUGGGGCGGUACUAAGAUAAAUUUAACUCUUGUUUUGUUAAUAAAGAUAGUUAGAUAAUUGAAUCAUUCUAAUUGAUUUUAGAUAAAGUUACCUUAGGGAUAACAGCGUAAUUUAUUUGGAGAGUCCUUAUUGAUAAAUAUGUUUGCGACCUCGAUGUUGAAUUAAGAAUUCAGGGGGAUGGAGCAGUUUCCGUUGAGAGUCUGUUCGACUCUAAAAUUCUUACGUGAUCUGAG
rnacentral:rRNA from 1 species